CAAAAUGGGAGUCCAAACCACCUGUUCAUGGAGUUUAGUGUUCAUGGUCUAGAAGAGCCCUGGCUGGAUUUUAUAUGUACUAUUUCUGCCACUGGCCAAGUAAAGAUCAUAGGAGAUGCUCGACACUCAGAAGUCAAAGCAUGGAAAGUGAGGUGUGGCAAAAGGAAAGCAGCUUUUAUUGGUCAAACGCCUACAAAUGAGAGAAUGGCCAGGCUCAAGCCUCAAAGGAUUCAUGGUUGGCUAAGUACCAAGUUGUUCAGGAAAAAUAUCUCACAACACUUCCAAUCAGAAUUCAGAGGAAAUGUCACCUACGUAAACUGCAACUUGACCAACAGUUACUUACAGAGAACCAGUUUAAGGUUUAUUUUCCACCACUGUGACUUUGUGCCCUUCUGUAAGCAUAUCAGGGAAAAGGAAGUCGAUGAUUUUACUCACUUACUUUCUCGGUCUCUGGUGUCCUUCCUAUAAAUUUACUGCAAGAGGUUUUAUGAAUUAUAGUUACUUCCAAGGGCAUGGUGAUGAAGCAAGAAAGGCCAUAAAACAAACAAACCUCUCAAACACCUAACUGGGAAGGAAGUGGUCAUUUAUUCAGACGGGAUCUGUGGCAGCAUGGAUGCCUAACAGCUGAGCUCCCCUAACAAAGAAAAUCCCUGCUCUUUUAAAGACUUACGACUCCAGAAAUUACUUGUGAAAGGGUCUUGGGCUUACAACUCUAGAAAUUACAUGUGAAAGGGUCUUGAUCCAUGAAGUAGGCGUGGGAUACAUGACUUAGGUGAGGGUGUGAUCCUGUUUAAGUAAAAACAAUGCCUUCCAGAAAGAUUCCUCUAUACCAUGCCUGCGAUGUAUAGGAGUGUGACUAAGGGUGGUGGCCAGGUCUGCCAGCCUUUACUUCUCUUACUGAAGUGCAAUGUAUAUGUCUAGGAGGACGGGCUUUUAGAAGCUUAAGAAGUUUAAGGGUCUCCUUUCUCAGUGACUUUGUGAUAAUUUAUUGAUGUGUAGCUCCAAGAUCAUAAGUGCAGUUUUGUGUCCCUACAAUCAGUGAGAAUUUUAAAUGUGAUAUAUCUCCUUUACAUAUAGAUAUGGGUACGUAGAUACACCACUUACAGUGAGAAGGGAUAUAAGUGAUCUACAAUAAAUGAGAAACAAGUUAAAUAAAUAUACAAUUAUCCAAUUCUAGAAAGUCCUAUCUAUCUAUUAUAAAAUAUUUAACAGUCACUUCUUGGAGUGAAAAUGAAGAUAAUUUAGGAGGAGAGUAUUUUUUAUAUGUAUCAAACAAAUGAAUUUGAUAAAGGGUGGAUUUGGAAUUCCUCCAAAAUAAGUCUAGCUUACCUCUCAUAAAUGCACAAUAAUUAAAACAAAC
rnacentral:lncRNA from 1 species